UACAGAGGGUGCGAGCGUUUGUUCGGAAUUAUUGGGCGUAAAGGGCGCGUAGGCGGUGCCACAAGUCACUUGUGAAAUCCCCGGGCUUAACUCGGGGCCUGCAGGCGAAACUGUGGUGCUGGAGUGUGGGAGAGGUGCGUGGAAUUCCCGGUGUAGCGGUGAAAUGCGUAGAUGAUCGGGAGGAACACCGGUGGCGAAGGCGGUUCUCUGGGCCUGUACUGACGCUGAGGAGCGAAAGCGUGGGUAGCAAACAGG
rnacentral:rRNA from 1 species